UACAGAGGGUGCGAGCGUUUAAUCGGAAUUACUGGGCGUAAAGCGUGCGUAGACGGCUAUCUAAGUCGGGUGUGAAAGCCCCGGGCUCAACCUGGGAAUUGCAUUCGAGACUGAAUAGCUAGGGUACGGUAGAGGGAAGUGGAAUUUCCGGUGUAGCGGUGAAAUGCGUAGAUAUCGGAAGGAACAUCAGUGGCGAAAGCGACUUCCUGGACCAGUACCGACGUUCAGGCACGAAAGCGUGGGGAGCAAACAGGGA
rnacentral:rRNA from 1 species